GCCUCCUUAGCUCAGUGGUAGGGCGUUGGUCUCGUAAACCAAAGGCAGAUAGUUCAAUCCUUUCAGGAGACA
rnacentral:tRNA from 1 species